rnacentral:rRNA from 1 species
UGGGGAAUUUUGGACAAUGGGCGAAAGCCUGAUCCAGCAAUGCCGCGUGUGUGAAGAAGGCCUUCGGGUUGUAAAGCACUUUUGUCCGGAAAGAAAUCCUUGGCUCUAAUACAGUCGGGGGAUGACGGUACCGGAAGAAUAAGCACCGGCUAACUACGUGCCAGCAGCCGCGGUAAUACGUAGGGUGCAAGCGUUAAUCGGAAUUACUGGGCGUAAAGCGUGCGCAGGCGGUUUGCUAAGACCGAUGUGAAAUCCCCGGGCUCAACCUGGGAACUGCAUUGGUGACUGGCAGGCUAGAGUAUGGCAGAGGGGGGUAGAAUUCCACGUGUAGCAGUGAAAUGCGUAGAGAUGUGGAGGAAUACCGAUGGCGAAGGCAGCCCCCUGGGCCAAUACUGACGCUCAUGCACGAAAGCGUGGGGAGCAAAACAGGAUUAGAUACCCUGGUGGUCCACGCCCUAAACGAUGUCAACUAGUUGUUGGGGAUUCAUUUCCUUAGUAACGUAGCUAACGCGUGAAGUUGACCGCCUGGGGAGUACGGUCG